rnacentral:rRNA from 1 species
UAGGGAAUCUUCCACAAUGGACGCAAGUCUGAUGGAGCAACGCCGCGUGAGUGAAGAAGGUUUUCGGACCGUAAAGCUCUGUUGUUGGUGAAGAAGGAUAGAGGUAGUAACUGGCCUUUAUUUGACGGUAAUCAACCAGAAAGUCACGGCUAACUACGUGCCAGCAGCCGCGGUAAUACGUAGGUGGCAAGCGUUGUCCGGAUUUAUUGGGCGUAAAGCGAGCGCAGGCGGAAGAAUAAGUCUGAUGUGAAAGCCCCCGGCUUAACCGAGGAAUUGCAUCGGAAACUGUUUUUCUGAGUGCAGAAGAGGAGAGUAGAACUCCAUGUGUAGCGGUGGAAUGCGUAGAUAUAUGGAAGAAUACCAGUGGCGAAGGCGGCUCUCUGGUCUGCAACUGACGCUGAGGCUCGAAAGCAUGGGUAGCGAACAGGAUUAGAUACCCUGGUAGUCCAUGCCGUAAACGAUGAGUGCUAAGUGUUGGGAGGCUUCCGCCUCUCAGUGCUGCAGCUAACGCAUUAAGCACUCCGCCUGGGGGAGUACGACCGCAAGGUUGAAAC